AUGACAUGGAGUUCUGCUAUAGCUAAGUGGAUCUUGCUGCAACUGUUUGAUGAGUUUUCAGAAACUUUUCCUUGUCACAAACUGUUCAACGGGCAGCUCAUUCUUCGUUCAGUGAAGGAAAUUUUGGCACAAGCUAUCAGUGCUAGGCGUGGGCAAAGGUUGUGGGAUCCUGGUGUUUCAGCAGUAAUAACUAACGACUGUCGGGUAGUAAAUCUCAAUCUUGCAAUAGGUGAAGCCAAUAGGAGUUUACGGAGCUCAACCACAAUAUAUUGCCUAUGCUCGACAUGUCAGAUGUCCAGUGGCUUUUAUGCUGACAACUUCUGGGAUCCGACUGACAUGUUCUUUAGGAAGCAAAUCAUGGUAUGCACCACGAGGAAUUCUUUUAUGUUGAACUCUUUGUCAACGGCACCACAAAAGGACCAUUGUCCAACAAUGCUUCUUAUUACCGGAAUACAACAUCGAUUGACCCCAGGUUAUGUGCGCUGGACAUGGGACCCUGGCGGCUUUUACCAUUGCCCGGCUUGGGGGCAAGCCGGAUUUCAAGAGGGCGAGAGUGUCAUGCCCGACCUAUGCGCUGGUAAGCACAGCUGGGUGGUGGGCCAUCUCUUGGAGGUUGGUCCCACAUGGAAGUCACAUGGAGGCAAGGCUACAUAUACAGCAGGGGGAGCACAGGAGGAGGCAGCGAAGGAAUGA
rnacentral:rRNA from 1 species